CUAGCGACUUCAGAGUUUGAUCCUGGCUCAGGAUGAACGCUGGCGGCGUGCUUAACACAUGCAAGUCGAACGGAACUCUUCUGAUAGAGACUUCGGUCAAUUGAUUAAGAGUUUAGUGGCGGACGGGUGAGUAACGCGUGAGGAACCUGCCUUGGAGUGGGGAAUAACACAGUGAAAAUUGUGCUAAUACCGCAUAAUGCAGUUGAGUCGCAUGGCUCUGACUGCCAAAGAUUUAUCGCUCUAAGAUGGCCUCGCGUCUGAUUAGGUAGUUGGUGAGGUAACGGCUCACCAAGCCGACGAUCAGUAGCCGGACUGAGAGGUUGGCCGGCCACAUUGGGACUGAGACACGGCCCAG
rnacentral:rRNA from 1 species